rnacentral:rRNA from 1 species
AUACGUAGGGGGCGAGCGUUGUCCGGAAUGAUUGGGCGUAAAGGGCACGUAGGCGGCGCGGUAAGUCUGGAGUGAAAGUCCUGCUUUCAAGGUGGGAAUUGCUUUGGAUACUGCCGCGCUUGAGUGCAGGAGAGGUUAUCGGAAUUCCCGGUGUAGCGGUGAAAUGCGUAGAGAUCGGGAGGAACACCAGUGGCGAAGGCGACUUACUGGGCCGUAACUGACGCUGAGGCGCGAAAGCGUGGGGAGCGAACAGGAUUAGAUACCCUGGUAGUCCACGCGGUAAACGAUGAAUGCUAGGUGUUGCGGGUAUCGACCCCUGCAGUGCCGGAGUAAACACAAUAAGUAUUCCGCCUGGGGAGUACGGCCGCAAGGUUGAAACUCAAAGGAAUUGACGGGG